rnacentral:rRNA from 1 species
UACGGGAGGCAGCAGUGGGGAAUAUUGCACAAUGGGCGCAAGCCUGAUGCAGCCAUGCCGCGUGUAUGAAGAAGGCCUUCGGGUUGUAAAGUACUUUCAGUCGUGAGGAAGGUGUUAAGGUUAAUAACCUUAGCAAUUGACGUUAGCGACAGAAGAAGCACCGGCUAACUCCGUGCCAGCAGCCGCGGUAAUACGGAGGGUGCGAGCGUUAAUCGGAAUUACUGGGCGUAAAGGGCACGCAGGCGGUUAAUUAAGUUGGAUGUGAAAUCCCCGGGCUUAACCUGGGAAUGGCAUUCAAGACUGGUUAGCUAGAGUCUUGUAGAGGGGGUAGAAUUCCAUGUGUAGCGGUGAAAUGCGUAGAGAUGUGGAGGAAUACCGGUGGCGAAGGCGGCCCCGUGGACAAAGACUGACGCUCAUGUGCGAAAGCGUGGGGAGCAAACGAGGAUUAGAUACC